UACGAAGGGUGCAAGCGUUACUCGGAAUUUACUGGGCGUAAAGCGUGCGUAGGUGGUUUUUGUAAGUCUGUUGUGAAAGCCCCGGGCUCAACCUGGGAAUGGCAAUGGAUACUGGCAGGCUAGAGUGCGGUAGAGGGUAGUGGAAUUCCCGGUGUAGCGGUGAAAUGCGUAGAGAUCGGGAGGAACACCAGUGGCGAAGGCGGCUACCUGGACCAGCACUGACACUGAGGCACGAAAGCGUGGGGAGCAAACAGG
rnacentral:rRNA from 1 species